rnacentral:rRNA from 1 species
GAUGAACGCUGGCGGCGUGCCUAAUACAUGCAAGUCGAGCGAACAGACGAGGAGCUUGCUCCUCUGACGUUAGCGGCGGACGGGUGAGUAACACGUGGAUAACCUACCUAUAAGACUGGGAUAACUUCGGGAAACCGGAGCUAAUACCGGAUAAUAUAUUGAACCGCAUGGUUCAAUAGUGAAAGACGGUUUUGCUGUCACUUAUAGAUGGAUCCGCGCCGCAUUAGCUAGUUGGUAAGGUAACGGCUUACCAAGGCAACGAUGCGUAGCCGACCUGAGAGGGCAGAUCGCCCACACUGGAGUGAGGAAACGUACCAGAUCCAAAUGGAGGGAGGAAGUAGGAAUGCUCCCGAACAGGGGGAACGCCUAACGAAGCAACCCCGCUGGAGUGAUGAAGGCCUUCGGACGUAAAACCGCGGUAAUUGGGAAAAACCAAAUUGGAAGGUAACAAUGACGGUUUAAAGGAUCCCAAUCAGAAAGCCACGGCUAACUACGUG